rnacentral:lncRNA from 1 species
UUUCUUACUGGGCUAGUUGAGCUCACCCUUUCUUUCACUGUUCUCUUCAGGAAAUGAGAAUAUAGUUGGGACGAGUCGGGGAACGGAGUGAUGGUCCAGAGGAUAGCAUUAGUAGUCCUCACUAUUCUGUGAAAUAAUGUGAUAAUAAUUGUAAUGAGGACUCCUUUUGAGUUUGUAUAAUCUCUAGUAGAUAAUAUUUGUAUUCAAACUCAC